rnacentral:rRNA from 1 species
GAUCAUGGCUCAGGAUGAACGCUAGCGACAGGCUUAACACAUGCAAGUCGAGGGGCAGCAUGAUUUGGUAGCAAUACAGAUUGAUGGCGACCGGCGCACGGGUGAGUAACGCGUAGUGCAACUUACCUAUCAGAGGGGAUAGCCCGGCGAAAGUCGGAUUAAUACCCCCAUAAAACAGGGGUCCCGCAUGGGAAUAUUUGUUAAAGAUUCAUCGCUGAUAGAUAGGCAUGCGUUCCAUUAGGCAGUUGGCGGGGUAACGGCCCACCAAACCGACGAUGGAUAGGGGUUCUGAGAGGAAGGUCCCCCACAUUGGUACUGAGACACGGACCAAACUCCUACGGGAGGCAGCAGUGAGGAAUAUUGGUCAAUGGCCGAGAGGCUGAACCAGCCAAGUCGCGUGAAGGAAGAAGGAUCUAUGGUUUGUAAACUUCUUUUAUAGGGGAAUAAAGUGGAGGACGUGUCCUUUUUGUAUGUACCCUAUGAAUAAGCAUCGGCUAACUCCGUG